ensembl:snRNA U6 U6 spliceosomal RNA
UUGCUUCGGCAGCACAUAAUAUUGAAAGUGCAACAAUACAGAAAAGAUUGCCAUGGUCCUUGUACAAGGAUGAUAUGCAAAUUUGUGAAGUGUUCCAUAUUUUA